rnacentral:tRNA from 1 species
GAUGGUUUAACCCNUUCCCCUACUA